CGAUCAAGUGUCUUAAGGGCAAUUGGUGGAUGCCUUGGCAUGCACAGGCGAUGAAGGACGUGAUACGCUGCGAUAAGCUACGGGGAGGUGCGAAUACCCUUUGAUCCGUAGAUUUCCGAAUGGGGAAACCCACCUAAGGUACUUGGAAAAUCAGAGCAGCAGGGCACCAAGUAUCGCUAAUAGGUAACUUAUCCUGAAUACAUAGGGAUAAAGUGGCGAACGCGGGGAACUGAAACAUCUAAGUACCCGUAGGAAAGGACAUCAACCGAGACUCCGGAAGUAGUGGCGAGCGAAACCGGACCAGGCCAGUGGCGAUUGAGAGACAAGCGGAACCUUCUGGAAAGUAGGGCCAUAGCGGGUGACAGCCCCGUACGCGUAAUGCGAUCAAUCGUCCUCGAGUAAGGCGGGACACGUGAAAUCCUGUCUGAAAUUGGGAGGACCACCUUCCAAGCCUAAGUACUCGUGCAUGACCGAUAGCGAACUAGUACCGUGAGGGAAAGGUGAAAAGCACCCCGACAAGGGGAGUGAAAGAGUACCUGAAACCGAUUGCCUACAAACAGUGGGAGCCCGCAAGGGUGACCACGUACCUUUUGUAUAAUGGGUCAGCGACUUAGUGUGACGAGCAAGCUUAAACCGAUAGGUGUAGGCGCAGCGAAAGCGAGUCUGAACAGGGCGUUCAGUUCGUCGCAUUAGACCCGAAACCGAGUGAUCUAGCCAUGAGCAGGUUGAAGGUAAGGUAACACUUACUGGAGGACCGAACCCAUAACUGUUGCAAUAGUUCGGGAUGACUUGUGGCUAGGGGUGAAAGGCCAAUCAAACUCGGAAAUAGCUGGUUCUCCGCGAAAUCUAUUUAGGUAGAGCGUCGACCGAAUACCCCAGGGGGUAGAGCACUGGAUGGGCUAGGGGUCCUCACCGGAUUACCAAACCUAACCAAACUCCGAAUACCUGGGAGUACUAGUCGGCAGACACACGGCGGGUGCUAACGUCCGUCGUGAAAAGGGAAACAACCCUGACCUACAGCUAAGGUCCCCAAGUUAUGGCUAAGUGGGAAAGGAUGUGAGGAUCCCAAAACAACCAGGAUGUUGGCUUAGAAGCAGCCAUCAUUUAAAGAAAGCGUAACAGCUCACUGGUCUAAAUAAGGGUCUUUGCGCCGAAAAUGUAACGGGGCUAAAGCCAUACACCGAAGCUUAGGGUUCGUGAGCAAUCACGAGCGGUAGCGGAGCGUUCUGUAAGCUGAUGAAGCCGUACCCGUGAGGGGCGGUGGAGGUAUCAGAAGUGCGAAUGCUGACAUGAGUAACGUAAGGGGAGUGAGAGACUCCCCCGCCGAAAGACCAAGGGUUCCUGCUUAAAGUUAAUCUGAGCAGGGUUAGCCGGCCCCUAAGACGAGGCGGAAACGCGUAGUCGAUGGGAACCACGUUAAUAUUCGUGGGCCUGGAGGUAGUGACGGAUCACACAAGUUGUCCAAUCUUAUCGGAUUGAAAGGGCAGCGGAGUGGUUCCAGGAAAUAGCUCCUCCUUAUAGACCGUACCCGAAACCGACACUGGUGGUCAGGUAGAGUAUACCAAGGCGCUUGAGAGAACUAUGCUGAAGGAACUCGGCAAAUUGCACGCGUAACUUCGGAAGAAGCGUGACCCUUUUCUGCGCAAGCAGAGGAGGGUGGCACAGACCAGGGGGUAGCGACUGUUUAUCAAAAACACAGGGCUCUGCGAAGCCGCAAGGCGACGUAUAGGGUCUGACGCCUGCCCGGUGCUGGAAGGUUAAGAGGAGGGGUGCAAGCUCUGAAUCGAAGCCCCAGUAAACGGCGGCCGUAACUAUAACGGUCCUAAGGUAGCGAAAUUCCUUGUCGGGUAAGUUCCGACCUGCACGAAUGGCGUAACGACUUCCCCGCUGUCUCCAGCAUAGACUCAGUGAAAUUGAAUUCCCCGUGAAGAUGCGGGGUUCCUGCGGUUAGACGGAAAGACCCCGUGCACCUUUACUAUAGCUUUACAUUGGCAUUCGUAGUGGCAUGUGUAGGAUAGGUGGUAGGCUUUGAAACCUGGGCGCCAGCUCAGGUGGAGCCACCCUUGAAAUACCACCCUUAUUACUAUGGAUGUCUAACCGCGGCCCGUUAUCCGGGUCCGGGACAAUGUAUGGUGGGUAGUUUGACUGGGGCGGUCGCCUCCUAAAGAGUAACGGAGGCGCGCGAUGGUGGGCUCAGAACGGUCGGAAAUCGUUCGCUGAGUGCAAUGGCAUAAGCCUGCCUGACUGCGAGACUGACAAGUCGAGCAGAGACGAAAGUCGGUCAUAGUGAUCCGGUGGUCCCGCGUGGAAGGGCCAUCGCUCAACGGAUAAAAGGUACGCCGGGGAUAACAGGCUGAUGACCCCCAAGAGUCCAUAUCGACGGGGUUGUUUGGCACCUCGAUGUCGACUCAUCGCAUCCUGGGGCUGGAGCAGGUCCCAAGGGUAUGGCUGUUCGCCAUUUAAAGCGGUACGUGAGUUGGGUUCAGAACGUCGUGAGACAGUUCGGUCCCUAUCUGCCGUGGGUGUAGGAAUAUUGAAAGGAUCUGUCCCUAGUACGAGAGGACCGGGAUGGACGGAUCUCUGGUGGACCUGUUGUGGCGCCAGCCGCAUUGCAGGGUAGCUAUAUCCGGACGGGAUAACCGCUGAAGGCAUCUAAGCGGGAAACCCACCUUGAAACGAGUAUUCCCUGAGAACCGUGGAAGACGACCACGUUGAUAGGCCGGGUGUGGAAGAGCGGCAACGCUUGAAGCUUACCGGUACUAAUAGUUCGAUCGGCUUGAUCGUU
rnacentral:rRNA from 1 species